AAGGAAUUUAGUGGCGGUCAAAUAGCAACAGUUUGCACCCAAACUGUCGCCGCCUACCCACUACAAAAAAAAAGAGGAUUAACGACACAAUGAUAAGGCGGUUUAGAACCGCUGUUGCAUGUUCCUAAGUAAAAUUUUCAUUCUCUCACUUAUAUAUUUUUGUGAUUCCCACAAGAAAGAAAGAACACGAGAAAGCGCUGAAAUCCUUCUUCUCCAAACUGUUGCCGUCUCAAAUCACGAUGUCUUCUCCAAAACCCUUUCAUCUCCAAAUCGUCUUCUGCAAACCAUCGUGAGAGUUCCAACUCGUCAUAUCUCCUGUUCAUCUCCGUCGUGACCGAGUUCGAGACACCGAUUGAUACAAAUCCCUUCGAUUUCUACACAUAGUUGCUUCCAAUCUCUUCGAUUUCGAAGCUCAAACCUUCAAUCUAUUUGAUUCGCAGCCCAAUCCUCCAAUCCCUUUGAUUGCGCUAAUCAGAUUGUAAGUACAAUUUUUUUUAAAAGUAAUUGAGAAUUCCAAUGUCAAAGAAAGAUAAAGAAUUUAAUGAGUUAUUUAGCUUGUGUGGUUUAUUUAACACUUAAAUCAAAUUUGAAGUACGUAUUUGAGUAGUCAUUUCCUUUCAUGUUGUGAGCUGUUAUGUCGUAUACAUGAGAUUGAGUUUAUUUAACAUAUUACUGCUCUGAGAAUAAUAUGAAUUUGUACUGAGCAUCUGCAAUGCAUGGGUGUUAAUUGUAGAACUUAUUGCAUGUAAAUAAGCAUAGACUGUGGAGCUGUUUCUUGGUUGGUAACUUGUUUAAUCAAAUACCCUGUAUUGCUACAUAUAAGGUAUAGAAUAGAAAGGAAAGUAAGGAGGGAAAUAGAGCCAUUGUAACUGAAAUAUAUAUCUAAUUAAUCUCGUCUAAUUGACUAACUAAUUCCUCUAAUUGUUCCUAACUGACAUCCACUCUUACUAACUACUCUUAAACAUUC
rnacentral:lncRNA from 1 species